AGUGAACGCUGGCGGUAGGCCUAACACAUGCAAGUCGAACGGCAGCACAGUAAGAGCUUGCUCUUACGGGUGGCGAGUGGCGGACGGGUGAGGAAUACAUCGGAAUCUACUUUUUCGUGGGGGAUAACUUAGGGAAACUUACGCUAAUACCGCAUACGACCUACGGGUGAAAGCAGGGGAUCUUCGGACCUUGCGCGAUUGAAUGAGCCGAUGUCGGAUUAGCUAGUUGGCGGGGUAAAGGCCCACCAAGGCGACGAUCCGUAGCUGGUCUGAGAGGAUGAUCAGCCACACUGGAACUGAGACACGGUCCAGACUCCUACGGGAGGCAGCAGUGGGGAAUAUUGGACAAAGGGCGCAAGCCUGAUCCAGCCAUACCGCGUGGGUGAAGAAGGCCUUCGGGUUGUAAAGCCCUUUUGUUGGGAAAGAAAAGCAGCAGGUUAAUACCCCGCUGUUCUGACGGUACCCAAAGAAUAAGCACCGGCUAACUUCGUG
rnacentral:rRNA from 1 species